CGCUCAUGUUUCUCUUCAUAUCGUAUAAAUCUUUCGCCUUUUACUAAAGAUUUCCGUGGAGAGGAGCACGAUGAGUAUAAACUAAUUUUUUAAUGCUCUGCAUAAAUGUGGGGCU
rnacentral:snRNA from 1 species